CCUUUUUUUGAAGGGCUCUUACUUCAGGCUGAGGCCUAUAGCAGGAGGUAGCCUUUGGGGCCUGAUUCUGUUUUUUUUUCCAUAUUUCUCUCUCCCCACGGCCACCCCUUCCUUCAAAACAAGACAUCUAGGCAAUCUUCCAUCAAACACUGAUGCUUACGCCAUCACGAUAACACUGAAAUCCAGCCAGUUCCAUGGGUCUCGAAGGAAGGUGAAUUCAUUCAGGCAAAAGCCUCUUGCCAAUAUCUUGAUUAGACAUUCAAAGGAAUAAAUGGCCGUGAAAGUAUACCUGGGGAGUGAAAGUAUACAGGGAAACAAGGUCAACACAGAAAGUAAGGUAACAAUCAUAAGGUCCUGUAUUAGGAGAAUAUAGUCGAAAUAGAAGGAACAAUAUCACCAAAGUUACUUACUCAACAUACUUCGUGGAGGAAGUCUCGCUGCUAUUUGACUGCACGUCCGCAAGAGCCAUGAAGACACAAUUGGUGAAAAUAGUGACCAUAAU